AGCACCCGCCCAGGUCAAGACUUUGGAGGUCCGUCGGUUGGGAGAUCGUCCGCAGAGUGGAGCACCCGCCCAGGUCAAGACUUUGGAGGCCCGU
rnacentral:pre_miRNA from 1 species